rnacentral:rRNA from 1 species
GAUGAACGCUGGCGGCGUGCCUAAUACAUGCAAGUCGAACGCUUUGUGGUUCAACUGAUUUGAAGAGCUUGCUCAGAUAUGACGAUGGACAUUGCAAAGAGUGGCGAACGGGUGAGUAACACGUGGGAAACCUACCUCUUAGCAGGGGAUAACAUUUGGAAACAGAUGCUAAUACCGUAUAACAAUGACAACCGCAUGGUUGUUAUUUAAAAGAUGGUUCUGCUAUCACUAAGAGAUGGUCCCGCGGUGCAUUAGCUAGUUGGUAAGGUAAUGGCUUACCAAGGCGAUGAUGCAUAGCCGAGUUGAGAGACUGAUCGGCCACAAUGGGACUGAGACACGGCCCAUACUCCUACGGGAGGCAGCAGUAGGGAAUCUUCCACAAUGGGCGAAAGCCUGAUGGAGCAACGCCGCGUGUGUGAUGAAGGGUUUCGGCUCGUAAAACACUGUUGUAAGAGAAGAAUGACAUUGAGAGUAACUGUUCAAUGUGUGACGGUAUCUUACCAGAAAGGAACGGCUAAAUACGUGCCAGCAGCCGCGGUAAUACGUAUGUUCCAAGCGUUAUCCGGAUUUAUUGGGCGUAAAGCGAGCGCAGACGGUUAUUUAAGUCUGAAGUGAAAGCCCUCAGCUCAACUGAGGAAUUGCUUUGGAAACUGGAUGACUUGAGUGCAGUAGAGGAAAGUGGAACUCCAUGUGUAGCGGUGAAAUGCGUAGAUAUAUGGAAGAACACCAGUGGCGAAGGCGGCUUUCUGGACUGUAACUGACGUUGAGGCUCGAAAGUGUGGGUAGCAAACAGGAUUAGAUACCCUGGUAGUCCACACCGUAAACGAUGAGUGCUAGGUGUUUGAGGGUUUCCGCCCUUAAGUGCCGCAGCUAACGCAUUAAGCACUCCGCCUGGGGAGUACGACCGCAAGGUUGAAACUCAAAGGAAUUGACGGGGACCCGCACAAGCGGUGGAGCAUGUGGUUUAAUUCGAAGCAACGCGAAGAACCUUACCAGGUCUUGACAUCCCUUGACAACUCCAGAGAUGGAGCGUUCCCUUCGGGGACAAGGUGACAGGUGGUGCAUGGUUGUCGUCAGCUCGUGUCGUGAGAUGUUGGGUUAAGUCCCGCAACGAGCGCAACCCUUAUUACUAGUUGCCAGCAUUCAGUUGGGCACUCUAGUGAGACUGCCGGUGACAAACCGGAGGAAGGUGGGGAUGACGUCAAAUCAUCAUGCCCCUUAUGACCUGGGCUACACACGUGCUACAAUGGCGUAUACAACGAGUUGCCAACCCGCGAGGGUGAGCUAAUCUCUUAAAGUACGUCUCAGUUCGGAUUGUAGGCUGCAACUCGCCUACAUGAAGUCGGAAUCGCUAGUAAUCGCGGAUCAGCACGCCGCGGUGAAUACGUUCCCGGGUCUUGUACACACCGCCCGUCACACCAUGAGAGUUUGUAACACCCAAAGCCGGUGGGGUAACCUUCGGGAGCCAGCCGUCUAAGGUGGGACAGAUGAUUGGGGUG